rnacentral:rRNA from 1 species
AUUGAACGCUGGCGGCAUGCUUUACACAUGCAAGUCGAACGGUAACAGGCCGCAAGGUGCUGACGAGUGGCGAACGGGUGAGUAAUGCAUCGGAACGUGCCCAGUCGUGGGGGAUAACGCAGCGGAAGCUGCGCUGAUACCGCAUACGAUCUAUGGAUGAAAGCGGGGGACCGUAAGGCCUCGCGCGAUUGGAGCGGCCGAUGUCAGAUUAGGUAGUUGGUGGGGUAAAGGCUCACCAAGCCAACGAUCUGUAGCUGGUCUGAGAGGACGACCAGCCACACUGGUACUGAGACACGGCCCAGACUCCUACGGGAGGCAGCAGUGGGGAAUUUUGGACAAUGGGCGCAAGCCUGAUCCAGCAAUGCCGCGUGCAGGAAGAAGGCCUUCGGGUUGUAAACUGCUUUUGUACGGAACGAAACGGUCCUGGUUAAUACCCGGGGCUAAUGACGGUACCGUAAGAAUAAGCACCGGCUAACUACGUGCCAGCCGCCGCAGUAAAAC